rnacentral:rRNA from 1 species
GAUGAACGCUGGCGGUCUGCUUAACACAUGCAAGUCGAACGGACCCUUCGGGGUGAGCGGCGGACGGGUUAGUAACGCGUGGGAACGUGCCCUUUGGUACGGAAUAGCCUCUGGAAACGGAGAGUAAUACCGUAUGAGCCCUUCGGGGAAAGAUUUAUCGCCAAAGGAUCGGCCCGCGUUAGAUUAGGUAGUUGGUGGGGUAAUGGCCUACCAAGCCUACGAUCUAUAGCUGGUUUUAGAGGAUGAUCAGCAACACUGGGACUGAGACACGGCCCAGACUCCUACGGGAGGCAGCAGUGGGGAAUCUUGGACAAUGGGGGCAACCCUGAUCCAGCCAAUGCCGCGUGAGUGAUGAAGGCCUUAGGG